rnacentral:rRNA from 1 species
GACGAACGCUGGCGGCGUGCUUAACACAUGCAAGUCGAACGGAAAGGCCCUGCUUUUGUGGGGUGCUCGAGUGGCGAACGGGUGAGUAACACGUGAGUAACCUGCCCUUGACUUUGGGAUAACUUCAGGAAACUGGGGCUAAUACCGGAUAGGAGCUCCUGCUGCAUGGUGGGGGUUGGAAAGUUUCGGCGGUUGGGGAUGGACUCGCGGCUUAUCAGCUUGUUGGUGGGGUAGUGGCUUACCAAGGCUUUGACGGGUAGCCGGCCUGAGAGGGUGACCGGCCACAUUGGGACUGAGAUACGGCACAGACUACUACGGGAGGCAGCAGGGGGGAAUAUUGCACAAUGGGCGGAAGACUGAUGCAGCAACGCCGCGUGCGGGAUGACGGCCUUCGGGUUGUAAACCGCUUUCGCCUGUGACGAAGCGUGAGUGACGGUAAUGGGUAAAGAAGCACCGGCUAACUACG